AAGCAACAGCGGCUGGAUUUUAACCAAGGGACUGCUGGCCAGGGAAAAGUCGAUAAAGCCAUUGCACGCAGCUCUGAGUUUCGACGGUCAUGUGCAGGGGAACAACUCGGCUACAGGCAACUGGGAUCUUGACGCAGAGGAAGAGAAAAGGGUGGAGUCUUUUCCUUGUUUUUGAGGGACAGUGUGGUGAGAGAUCCAGCUCUGAGUAGGCGGGCCCUCGUCCGUGGCUGCCGCUUCUUCGCUUCCAGAGGGUCAGCGGGGGGUUUUGGAAACGCCUUGAAUGGAUCCUCAUCAUCGCAGGGAACUGGCAAAUGUGGCUUCUAGUACCACAAAAAACAAUAAAUGGAAUAAGACGGUUUGACCAAUGAGACAGAAACUGAAUCUCCAUAUUAAACAAAAAGAGAAUGAAGUAUUUUGGUAUUUCUAUUCAUACUUUUUGAAUUUGCUACUGCAUACAUACCAGUGAUACCUUUUUUUUUUAACGUUUUUUCAGUUUUCAAUAGUAUUAUUAAUACUAUUGUACUAUGCAAUUCUUUCCCUGAGCUGACAUUAAACAUCAUCUUAAUUAGACUCUAAAAUACAAUUUGAACUACCAUUUAAAGAUGUGUGUUUGUGACUUACAUGGUCCAGAGGAGAGAGGCGAGUCCCUGAGCCUGGCCUCGAGUCAGGAAAUUCAAAGUUUUGUGCAUGAAGACUGAAAAUAAAAAAAUAAAAAGCAUUAUUUCUGCUACAUGGUAGGUGCAAAACUCAAAUUGUCUCAGAACCUCAAAUCAUGAAGGAUGUUGAAGUUUGUGACUGACCUGAAGGUAGAUGGAGGUCGGUUGUCACGGUCUACACCAGCAGAGCUCUUUCCAAAAAGUUGCCUGUGUCCAUCUCUGGGAGUGAACGGUCGCUGGGUGGACUGGACUCGCAGGGACUGUCUGGCUUCACUGACUAUUU